UGUUCUCUGGAAUAACCAUUGGAGGCGAACCAGUUUCCUCCCUAACGCAAUCGCCCAUUGAAUUUGAAGUUUUCUUUGAUCGUUCUCGGUUCCUUUCGUCUUCUCUGAUCGAUUGAUCCCGGUCUGAUCCAUUUCCCUUUUCCGGAAUCUGUGUUUCGUUGGAUUCUCAAUCUGCGGUUUCGGAUUAGAUGACUCCCUCUCCGCCAUGUCGCCGGCGGAUUUCGUAGGGACCGGGGCUCUGGCUAACGAAGCCGACGGUCGGAAAAUUCCAGCCAAUCACUUGUCUUUUGGGUUUGUCGUCUCAGGUUCGGUUCCUCAAUCUAAAACAGAGAAUCUAAGAACAAUGAGUAACUUCGGGGAUUUGAAUUCCGCGUUCCCGAGUUCGGAUCGAAUCAAUCCUACCUCGAGCUUCGAUUCUGCGCCAUUUUCGCGGCCAUCUUCGGGUCUCUCUAAGCCGAGAUUGUCCAAGGUGAGGAGGCAAGUGAAGUCUCAGAACUUGAAGCCCUCGGGAAACUCGGUUUCUCUCUCGGGUCUGGGUUUCAACCCGUUUCAUAACCCUAGUUCGUUCAUGAUGCCUCUCUCUGGGUCCAUUGCCGGUGAAUCCGGGUUUGGAAGGAGCACCAACGAGGCGUUUGUUUUUGGGAACAAUGACGGUGAAAGGGUUGUGGAAGAAAUGAACAAAUUGAAGAUCCAGGGGGAGGAUGUAUGUGGGAAAGAUUAUAGGAAGGGUGUUGGCUUUGAUGAUAACGUCAAGGAUUCACAGGAGAGUAUGUGCAAUGUGGGACAGAAAGAUUCCAGUUUUAGUUUCGGUGUGAAGAACAAAAGCGGUUUUGUGUUUACUGGUGGUGAAAAUGUUAGUGGUGUUUCGGGGAAAAGUUUGGAAGAUGAACUUCCAAAUGAGUUGAAUAAUAAACUGAGAAUUCAUGCAAGCAAGGAGGCUGCUGAGGGAAGAAGUAGCUUUACCAUUGGUGAAUCUGAAAAUUUCAUGUCGAAAGAUAGCUGCAGUGGCUUUUCUUCCUGGAGUUCAGGACAUUUAGUUCAGGAAAAGAUGAAGAAACUGAACAUUGAGGACAAGGUGUUUGAUGGCGGUGUCGAUCAGAAACAGCAUACUGCCAAAGUCAAUGAGGAAGCUUCGGUUUUCUCUACGGACAAAGCUGAGUCUCGGGAUUUGAUUGGGGAGAAGAUACUCUCUGAUGAGUUGGCAAGGAAGUUGAACGUCGGAAAUAUAGCUUCUGAAGGGAUAACCAAGGGGCAUUCUUCAUCUGAAGCGUUUUCCAAUGGCUCACCAAAGGAAAAUGUGACUGAGCAGAAUAUCAACGACUCCGACAAAUCAUAUCCGAUGAAUAGUAGUUUUGCAGGUGCAGUGCCUGAUGAACAUUUGAAUGCUAGAAAUGUUGGUUAUACGACCUCUAGUGUAAAUACUGUCGAGUUCAAUUUUUCGAGUAAGCAAAACAGUGGCGGGGCGACUUUUAUGGAAUUCAAGACGCCCAACUCAAAAUUAAAUCCGUUUUCCAGCUUGGGUCAGAAAUUGGAUUUCAAUGCAAAGAAGGAAAAUUCUAGUGCCAUGAAAUCUAGAAGGACAGCAGGUAAGCAAGCUGUGAAAGUCCAACUGAAUGUUGGAGAGUUUGCUUUUGCAGAAAGUGGUUUUCCACAAGGAAUCAGUGAGGUUUCUGGGUCUUAUUCACCGAUGGACAUCUCUCCGUACGAGAAAACACAAAGCGAGGCAGAAUCUACUGUAUCAGAUCAGUCUUCUAAUCCUGAAAAAAGCCAUUUAUCAACUGUUGAUGCUUCAAGUGAUAUGUUCGACGAAGAGCUACUUGCUGCAACUGAGCGGAUGCAAAUAAAUGAAGGGGAUGGAGUUAACACCGAUCAAGUUCACGAAUCUCAUACUGAUAAAGGUGGUGACCAUGAAGAACUUGCAGAAGGUUCUGUAUCAGGGGCCGAAACCGAGAGUUUUAAAUCGGCAGCUGAAGAGAUGGAAGUUAGUAGUGAUACUUUUGUUACAGCAACAGAAACUGAUGUUACUUCAACCUUGAAGUUUGAUAGGGAAGAAAAUGAGGACCAUUUUCCUUCUUCAGAUUCUGCUAGCUCUAACUUCACCUUUUCAGCUGCAUCCUCUUCAGUAGCUCAUGGACCGCUGCCAACUGCAAAGCGUGUAAACAGGAAGAAAAAUCCAUCAAAAUUCGGGCAUGAUCCAUAUAACUUAGUUCCAAACGCGCCACUUCCAUAUACUUCAUUCCUAAAAUCUUCUCAACAUUCUCCAUUAGCUGGUGUUCAGUCGAUUUUGUCUCAAGGGAAGCCCUAUGAAAAGGAUACUCUUACUCAUCUACCUAAGCCUAUAUAUAGAUCUGAAGUGGAGAAAGGGAGAGAAGUGGAAAACGAGUCUAAUGCAGCUCAAGAAGCAUGUGAAAAGUGGCGAUCAAGAGGAAAUCAUGCUUAUACAAAUGGAGAUCUCUCGAAAGCUGAGGAAUUUUACACACGGGGGAUAAAUUCUGUCUCUAGAAAUGAGACAUCUAGAAGCUGCCUCAGGGCAUUGAUGCUUUGCUACAGUAAUCGUGCUGCAACACGCAUGUCCCUUGGAAGAAUGAGAGAAGCCAUAUUAGAUUGUACAAUGGCUUCUUCAAUAGACCCCAACUUCCUUAGGGUUCAAGUCAGGGCUGGAAAUUGUUACCUUUCACUUGGGGAAAUUGAAGAUGCAUCAAGAUAUUUCAAAAAAUGUUUGCAAUGUGGAAGUGACAUCUGUGUGGACCGAAAAAUUUUUGUUGAGGCUUCUGAAGGUCUACAAAAGGCACAGAAAGUUUCUGAAUGCAUGCAUGAAGCUGGUCGUCUUUUGCACCUUAGAACAUCACAUGACGCAGAUAAAGUUUUGGGAGUACUUGAAGAAUCCCUGUCAAUAAGUUCAUACUCGGAAAAGUUACUUGAAAUGAAGGGAGAGGCCCUAUUAAUGCUUGAGAAGUAUGAAGAAGUGGUAAAGCUUUGUGAGCUGACAGUUGAUUUGGCGGAAAAGAAUUCUCUUCCAUUGGGCACUGACAGAAAUUUGGCUAACCUGGGAGCUCAUGAUCUUCCCAAAGACAUAAAUUUCAGAAUUUGGCGGUGCCGCCUCAUGCUUAAAUCAUGUUUCUAUAUGGGAAAGCUUGAGGAGGCAAUUGCUUCUCUAGAGAAGCAAGAACAAUUAGUAUCUGUUACACAAAGGAAUGAUAACAAAACUCUAGAAUCCUCAAUUCCAUUUGCUGCUACUGUACGUGGUUUGUUGCGCCUCAAGACGGCAGGGAAUGAAGCGUUUCAGUCUGCAAAACACACAGAAGCAGUUGAACAUUACACAGCUGCUUUGUCUUUCAAUGUGGAAUCACGUCCUUUUAUGGCUGUGUGUUUCUGCAACCGUGCUGCUGCAUACAAGGCUCUUGGUCAAGUUAUUGAUGCUAUCGCCGACUGCAGCCUUGCUAUUGCUCUUGACCAGAACUACUCAAAGGCUAUAUCUAGACGGGCCGCGUUGUUUGAGAUGAUAAGGGACUAUGGACAAGCAGCAAGUGAUAUUCAGAAACUUGUUGAUCUUCAAUCAUGGCAAAUGGAGAAGGCCACUGGGGCUUGCGAUAGAUCCACGAAUUUGGCCAAUGAUAUAAGACACGCUCGUCUACGGCUUUCUGAGCUGGAAGAAAAAUCAAGAAGGGGAAUUCCACUGGACAUGUACCUCAUCCUGGGAGUUGAUCGGUCAUGCUCGGCUUCAGAUAUCAGAAAGGCAUAUAGGAAGGCUGCACUCCGUCACCAUCCUGACAAGGCUGGUCAGUCCUUGUCAAGAAACGAGACUAAGGAUGAUAAGCUAUGGAAGGAGAUAGGAGAAGAAGUGCACCGUGACGCUGACAGAUUAUUUAAAAUGAUUGGUGAGGCAUAUGCAAUUCUUUCAGACCCUGCAAAGCGUUCACAGUACGAUCUUGAAGAAGAGAUGCAUAAUGCACAAAAGAAGCGUGAAGGAAGCAGCGCAUCAGGAGCACAUGCAGAUGUUCAGAACUAUUAUUAUCCUUUUGAGAGGAGCAGCAGUAGAAGGAACUGGAGAGAAGUAUGGAGAUCACAAAGGGAUCCAACAGCUCCCACCAGACGGUCAGAAUCCACCCGAUCAAACCGAUAUCCGUUGUAACUGUAAGCAUCUCUGUUAUAAACUUCUUCUGCAAAAGCUGAAGGAUGUGAAAUAUAUCCAACGAUAAAAUACUGGAGCUGAUUAGGUAGCUAGACUCAGAUUGAGCAUUGAAAAUUCACUUCAAUGGGGGAUGACAUGCGUGAAAAGUUCAGAUUUCAGUUGUUUCAGCCACAACCUGGAAACGCUGUUCAGACAAUGGAGAAAAAACAGGCAAAUCUCGCUCGGAAAACGAUUUCCCAAGAAGUUCUGUCUCUCUGGCCAACCGAGGAAAGUCUGCCCCUCGAGCUUGCGAGACGUGUGAUGUAUUUCGACCAAGAUGUUGUUUAAGCUUCACUCCAUGGAAGGCGCGCGCGUGUUAUCAUCAUCCCCCAUUUUUUGUUGUCGGAAUCGACUCUUGUCCGAAUGGAUCAUUGUCUGGCCGCCCAUUGGAUGCAUUCUCGGCCAAAGGCCCAUGGGUCUGUAUGCGUGUGAGGUGUGAUGGAUGCGUCUACACCUCGCCGGUAGAGGCCGAGUAGCACCUCUACCCGUCACCCUUAAAAAAUAUAUUUAUAUUUUUUAUUUUUAAUA